AGCGAACGCUGGCGGCAGGCUUAACACAUGCGAGUCGAACGCCCCGCAAGGGGAGUGGCAGACGGGUGAGUAACACGUGGGAACGUACCCUUUGGCUCGGAAUAACUUGGGGAAACUCAAGCUAAUACCGGAUAAGCCCUUAUGGGGAAAGGUUUACUGCCGAAGGAUCGGCCCGCGUCUGAUUAGCUAGUUGGUGAGGUAAUGGCUCACCGAGGCGACGAUCAGUAGCUGGUCUGAGAGGAUGAUCAGCCACACUGGGACUGAGACACGGCCCAGACUCCUACGGGAGGCAGCAGUGGGGAAUAUUGGACAAUGGGGGCAACCCUGAUCCAGCCAUGCCGCGUGAGUGAUGAAGGCCUUAGGGUUGUAAAGCUCUUUUACCCGGGACGAUAAUGACUGUACCGGGAGAAUAAGCCCCGGCUAACUUCGUGCCAGCCGCCGCAGUAA
rnacentral:rRNA from 1 species